AUGGGUAAGGAAAGAUUUAUCAGUCAUAAAUCUAACUUGGUUUUUCCUGCAUGGUAUCAUAUCCCUCAAAAAUUAUUAGAUUUUCUCUCUGUUUCCACAGUCAGUGGCAAUAAUCCUGAGGGUGAAGAGCUUCAGACAGAACCUGUAGAGGAUGAAGAUCAUAGAGAAGAGUCUUCAGAUUGUGAUGAAAUGGAUUAUUCCAUGGUCCCUGAGCAGCCUCCAGAUUGCCAAAAAGAAGAAAGGUUAAAUACAUCUAUUCCAAAGGAAAGGAAAAUGAGAAAUCUUUUAGUUACCAUUGAAAAUGAUACUCCUCUAGAAGAUCUCUCAAAAUACGUGGAUAUUAAUGUUAUUGCACUUACCCGAAAUCGUAGAACAAGAAGAUGGUAUACUUGUCCGCUGUGUGGGAAACAGUUUAAUGAGAGUUCUUACCUUAUUUCCCACCAGAGGACUCACACUGGAGAAAAGCCCUAUGACUGCAGUCACUGUGGGAAAAGCUUUAAUCAUAAAACAAACCUUAAUAAGCAUGAGAGAAUCCAUACAGGAGAGAAGCCUUAUUCAUGUUCUCAGUGUGGGAAAAACUUCCGUCAGAAUUCUCAUCGAAGUCGCCAUGAAGGAAUCCAUAUAAGGGAAAAGAUACUUAAGUGUCCAGAAUGUGGGAAAACCUUCCCAGAAAACAAAGAGUUUGUGAUUCACUUGCAGAGUCACAAGGCCAAGAGGCCAUAUGGUUGUAAAAAGUGUGGGAGAAGAUUUGGUCGGCUGUCAAACUGUACCCGGCAUGAAAAAACCCACUCAGCAUGUAAGACCCGAAAACAGAAGUGACAUCAGGGAAAGGUCUGAUGAUACCACCUCAGACUGAAAUAUUCCAUAAAUAAUUCUGAAUUGCCAGGCUGUCUGAAAAGUUACAGACAAGAAAACUUCAUUAUAGCCAAAAUCGGAUAAAUAUUCAAAUUUGCUGAAAUCUCAAGUUUUUAGAAAAUUCACAGGGAAAACAAAACAUCCUCAAGGGCUAUACCUCAGUUAGCAACCAGGCUUUUUGGACUAAAGAGCUUUCUUUUGUGAACUUACGCAACAAUGUACAGCUCACAGAUCCCUUUCCCAAAAAAGGCUUUGAAAUACGAGUCUGGGGGCCACUUACCUUAAGGUGAAGACUGAUAAGUGUACUGAAAGUAUCAGAAUAUUCCAUUCCCCCCCUCACACACACACACAUAGGAUUUCACACCUGAGAAAUAAUGUAAAGAUCCUUAUCUGAAACUGUUCCCCUAAAAGAACCACACUGCCGACUUGGUAAUAAGUCAACAGCUUUUAUUAGCCAUUCAUAUCACCAUCUAACGAUACCCUGAAAGCUUGAGAGAUGAAAGGGAUUGUUUACUUUGGAAUAUAGGAAAACAGCAACUGAAUGUCAAAGACUUACUCCAUUAUUUGUAUGUGAUCUAAAAACUAAUGAUCAAUUUCAAUAGCUUGCAGUUUGUGGUGAAAAGUGACAUUUACAGAAAUCCUCUUCACAGUGUAAUUUAAAAGUGUCUGCUGUUCUUACUGUAUUUUGUCCAGCUGUUAAUUGGUCAAACAGCUCUCUCAUGCCUUUGCCUUGCCAGAAGAAGUUUGGGUCACUCAGGCCUGGCCACCCAGCCCCACUCCUGGAAAAACUUCUGAAUUUUGUCCCUCUGUUGAGUCAGGAAAACCUGCCAGGAAGGAAACCCCAGGAACCUGCAGAGGGGGAGGAAGAUGUUGGCUUGGAUCCGUGGCUGGUCAAGAACCUUGCCAUUUGUUUAGUUCCCAUCAGACCUUUGGCAAUGGGUGGUCACUACCUCACAAGCAUAGUGUUUUACUUUUAGAAAUUAUCUCCCCAGUGGCUCGCUCACAUUAACCCUCAGGAGGUAGGGUUCCAGUGUCGUCACUGUAGUGGACAUUUGUUCUCUGUGGCUUCCUGGUACCCACACUUUCCUGACUUGUCUGCCGGAGGCAAGGCCAGCGGUGCCUUCACAGGACCCAUCCUGUGGUGUGUCAUUUUCAGAUCCUCCAUCAGUCUUACUCCUCUUAGAUUUCCUUAGGUUUUAAAUUGGUAUCUGGAUUGGAAUAGGCUAAAUCCUGUACACUAGUGGUGGAAAAUUACCUUUACACAUUUUGUUCCCAUCCAGAAACCUACCUUCCACUGAUUAGAGUAUUCUGAGUACUUGUUUUUCUAAUUUUCUUCAGGUAAAUUCUACACAAAACAAAGUUUUGUUUUUGAAAGUAGGUUUUUUUUCCCAUUGUAUUUCUCUAGUUGGUUGUUGCUCUUGCAUAGGAAAGUUAUUCUUAAUUAUAUAUUUGCAAAACUAGCUACUUCUCUGAAUGUAAUUUUCAGUAAUUUCUUGGUUCUGUUAAAAUUUGUGAUUAAAAAUUAUACCAUCUAUAAA